UACGGAGGGUGCAAGCGUUGUCCGGAUUUAUUGGGUUUAAAGGGUGCGUAGGCGGCCCGUUAAGUCAGUGGUGAAAGCCUCCAGCUCAACUGGAGAACUGCCAUUGAUACUGGCGGGCUUGAGUACAGACGAGGUUGGCGGAAUUGAUUGUGUAGCGGUGAAAUGCAUAGAUACGACAUAGAACACCAAUUGCGAAGGCAGCUUGCUACAGGGAUAUUGACACUGAGGCACGAAAGCGUGGGGAUCAAACAGG
rnacentral:rRNA from 1 species